rnacentral:rRNA from 1 species
AUUGAACGCUGGCGGCAGGCUUAACACAUGCAAGUCGAACGAGUGGCGGACGGGUGAGUAAUGCUUGGGAAUCUGGCUUGUGGAGGGGGAUAACUACGGGAAACUGUAGCUAAUACCGCGUACCAUAGGAUGAGCCCAAGUGGGAUUAGGUAGUUGGGGAGGUAAAGGCUCACCAAGCCGACGAUCUCUAGCUGGUCUGAGAGGAUGCCCGGCCACACGGAGACUAGGACACGGCCCAGACUCCUAGGGGGGGCAGCAGGGGGGAAUAUUGCGCAAGGGGGGCAGCCUAACGCAGCCAGGCCGCGGGAAUGAAGAAGGCUUUCGGGUUGUAAAGUUCUUUCGGUAGCGAGGCGUUAACUACGGAAGAAGCACCGGCUAACUCCGUGCCAGCAGCCGCGGUAAUU